UACGGAGGGUGCAAGCGUUGUCCGGAUUUAUUGGGUUUAAAGGGUGCGUAGGUGGGAAUGUAAGUCAGUGGUGAAAUCUCCGUGCUUAACACGGAAACUGCCAUUGAUACUAUGUUUCUUGAAUUUUCUGGAGGUUAGCGGAAUAUGUCAUGUAGCGGUGAAAUGCUUAGAUAUGACAUAGAACACCGAUUGCGAAGGCAGCUAACUACAGGGAUAUUGACACUGAGGCACGAAAGCGUGGGGAUCAAACAGG
rnacentral:rRNA from 1 species